rnacentral:rRNA from 1 species
UUUCCGUAGGUGAACCUGCGGAAGGAUCUUAGUGAAUUUUAGGGUGCUCUUCCUCAGCUGUUUAACCGGCCGAGUGAAGAGGCCUGACCUCCACUCUCCAACACUGUGCACACUUCGGCAUUGCGAACGCUGCUUGUCAGCUAGUAGCUUUGCGGCUUCAUUUUAACACUAGUCAAAGAAUGUAAAAAAACCAUAACAAAAAAAAACUUUCAACAACGGAUCUCUUGGCUCUCGCAUCGAUGAAGAACGCAGCGAAAUGUGAUAAGUAAUGUGAAUUGCAGAAUUCAGUGAAUCAUCGAAUCUUUGAACGCACCUUGCGCUCUCUGGUAUUCCGGAGAGCAUGCCUGUUUGAGUGUCAUGAACUCUUCAACCCACCGGUUCCUUGUUGAACCGAGUUGGUGUUUGGAUUUUGAGCUUUGCUAUUCAUUUAGCUAGCUCGUAAUAUAUUAGCAUCUUUCAAUUUCAUAAUCGGAUUGACUCAGCGUAAUAGACUAUUCGCUGAGGACACUUUUACUAGUGGCCGGUAAUGGAGAUAGAGAAGCUUCCAACUCUUCUAGUCAACUUUAGAUUAGACCUCAAAUCAGSCAGGAUUACCCGCUGAACUUAAGCAUAU